UACGGAAGGGGCAAGCGUUGUUCGGAAUCAUUGGGCGUAAAGGGCGCGUAGGUGGUUCUGUAUGUCUGCCGUGAAAGCGUACGGCUCAACCGUAUUUUGUCGGUAGAAACUGCAGGACUUGAGGCUGGGAGGGGCUGGUGGAAUUCCCUGUGUAGCGGUGAAAUGCGUAGAGAUCAGGAGGAACACCUGUGGUGUAGACAGCUUACUGGACGGUGACUGACGCUGAGGCACGAAAGCGUGGGUAGCAAACAGG
rnacentral:rRNA from 1 species